rnacentral:rRNA from 1 species
CCUACGGGGGGCAGCAGUGAGGAAUAUUGGUCAAUGGACGAGAGUCUGAACCAGCCAAGUAGCGUGAAGGAUGACUGCCCUAUGGGUUGUAAACUUCUUUUAUAUGGGAAUAAAAUGUUCCACGUGUGGGAUUUUGUAUGUACCAUAUGAAUAAGGAUCGGCUAACUCCGUGCCAGCAGCCGCGGUAAUACGGAGGAUCCGAGCGUUAUCCGGAUUUAUUGGGUUUAAAGGGAGCGUAGGUGGAUUGUUAAGUCAGUUGUGAAAGUUUGCGGCUCAACCGUAAAAUUGCAGUUGAAACUGGCAGUCUGGAGUACAGUAGAGGUAGGCGGAAUUCGUGGUGUAGCGGUGAAAUGCUUAGAUAUCACGAAGAACACCGAUUGCGAAGGCAGCUCACUGGACUGCAACUGACACUGAGGCUCGAAAGUGUGGGUAUCAAACAGGAUUAGAUACCCGGGUAGUC